CCCAUCAAGAGCAGCGUAUGAUGAAUGCGUGAGUGGGCAGCCUCCAUGAGCACAUUUGAAGCAUGAUUUAUGGUCAGAUAGGUAGAGAUGGAUGAUUGGAGAGUGAAACAUACCACAAGAGUCCCUUUGCAGUGGCUGCAUUUAAAGCAGGAUCUAUGAAAGGUUGCUCCAUCAGCAGACAACAAAUCAACAAAAUAGACCGUCUUGUCGCAAGCCUUGCAUUUAUCCAAGUUUGAAGAAAAUGUAUGAUCAGAGAGCUGCUAGCUAGGAUGGGCUGCCAAGGAACAAAAGGGAGAAGUUUCAACAAGAAAGCGCUUGGCCC